rnacentral:lncRNA from 8 species
CACGCUCAGAAUGGAAUCAUAAUACACAUCCUUUAUGCUUCAAAGCAGUACGCCAAUUAUCUAUAUGUCAUAUGGAUUUUGUUGUUGUUUGGUGUGAUGCUGAUGUUGACUUGGUGAUGUCUUGUUUGCAGGGGAAAUUCUGAAUAAGAGCAAAACAGUGAAACCCUACAAAAUACGAAGAGGAAGCUCAGUCAACUUUAUUCGUCGUGCCUGUGAAGAAUAAGACAACGGUAUUCAGAGGAAACCACAGUUGUCCCUCAAAGUGAGACCACUCAGGACACAUUGGUUACGGACAGGUCACCAGGGCAACAAUGUGAUAAGGCAAAGACAGGUGAUUUCGAUGUUGAACCUCAAUCCGAGAGUUCAGACAGAGAGGCGGGACAAUCCAAUGAAAACACAAAGUGUACAACACAGGUUACAAACAGGUCACCAGGGCAACGAGGUGAUAAGACUAACACAGGGAAUAUCCUGGCGGGAUCCCCAAGUGCCUUUGGUGUAAGUACCUCUAACUUUUACUUGACUGAAACAAAGACCAACUCAUGGAAAUGGUGUUGAUGGGAGUGGGGUUUCCCCCCUGAUCAAAGCAGCUGGUUGGAUAAAUAUUUGUACAAAAAAUAUUGUUAUGGGUUUACUAUUUUUAUAUGACUAAAUAGUGGGUGGCUAUCCCCAAAUUAUAUUAACCUUUUAAAAAUGAUUCAGUCCUUCAAUUUUUUUCUUGUUAUUAAAUACUUACGUAUGCCCUUUUCAUUUAGGCUGACGAUAACAUUGAGGAUGUGGAC